GUAGGGGAGCGUUCUGUAAGCCUGCGAAGGUGUGCUGUGAGGCAUGCUGGAGGUAUCAGAAGUGCGAAUGCUGACAUAAGUAACGAUAAAGCGGGUGAAAAGCCCGCUCGCCGGAAGACCAAGGGUUCCUGUCCAACGUUAAUCGGGGCAGGGUGAGUCGACCCCUAAGGCGAGGCCGAAAGGCGUAGUCGAUGGGAAACAGGUUAAUAUUCCUGUACUUGGUGUUACUGCGAAGGGGGGACGGAGAAGGCUAUGUUGGCCGGGCGACGGUUGUCCCGGUUUAAGCGUGUAGGCUGGUUUUCCAGGCAAAUCCGGAAAAUCAAGGCUGAGGCGUGAUGACGAGGCACUACGGUGCUGAAGCAACAAAUGCCCUGCUUCCAGGAAAAGCCUCUAAGCAUCAGGUAACAUCAAAUCGUACCCCAAACCGACACAGGUGGUCAGGUAGAGAAUACCAAGGCGCUUGAGAGAACUCGGGUGAAGGAACUAGGCAAAAUGGUGCCGUAACUUCGGGAGAAGGCACGCUGAUAUGUAGGUGAAGUCCCUUGCGGAUGGAGCUGAAAUCAGUCGAAGAUACCAGCUGGCUGCAACUGUUUAUUAAAAACACAGCACUGUGCAAACACGAAAGUGGACGUAUACGGUGUGACGCCUGCCCGGUGCCGGAAGGUUAAUUGAUGGGGUCAGCGCAAGCGAAGCUCUUGAUCGAAGCCCCGGUAAACGGCGGCCGUAACUAUAACGGUCCUAAGGUAGCGAAAUUCCUUGUCGGGUAAGUUCCGACCUGCACGAAUGGCGUAAUGAUGGCCAGGCUGUCUCCACCCGAGACUCAGUGAAAUUGAACUCGCUGUGAAGAUGCAGUGUACCCGCGGCAAGACGGAAAGACCCCGUGAACCUUUACUAUAGCUUGACACUGAACAUUGAGCCUUGAUGUGUAGGAUAGGUGGGAGGCUUUGAAGUGUGGACGCCAGUCUGCAUGGAGCCGGCCUUGAAAUACCACCCUUUAAUGUUUGAUGUUCUAACGUGGACCCGUGAUCCGGGUUGCGGACAGUGUCUGGUGGGUAGUUUGACUGGGGCGGUCUCCUCCUAAAGAGUAACGGAGGAGCACGAAGGUUGGCUAAUCCUGGUCGGACAUCAGGAGGUUAGUGCAAUGGCAUAAGCCAGCUUGACUGCGAGCGUGACGGCGCGAGCAGGUGCGAAAGCAGGUCAUAGUGAUCCGGUGGUUCUGAAUGGAAGGGCCAUCGCUCAACGGAUAAAAGGUACUCCGGGGAUAACAGGCUGAUACCGCCCAAGAGUUCAUAUCGACGGCGGUGUUUGGCACCUCGAUGUCGGCUCAUCACAUCCUGGGGCUGAAGUAGGUCCCAAGGGUAUGGCUGUUCGCCAUUUAAAGUGGUACGCGAGCUGGGUUUAGAACGUCGUGAGACAGUUCGGUCCCUAUCUGCCGUGGGCGCUGGAGAACUGAGGGGGGCUGC
rnacentral:rRNA from 1 species